GUGGGUGUGUCUUCAUGUUUUUAUGUCUAUUUAUGUUUAUGAGAGAGCUAUAAAUUAAUAUGUAUGUGUGUGUAUAUAUGUAGGUGUGUGUGUAUACAUAUAUUCUUAUUUCAUUUUUCUUGUUUAUUUAUUUUUUUCAUUACACUGUGGCCAUACAGGGGCACCAGAUUAAUGAAUUUACUCAAUUAAUUAGUCUACCCGUCUCAUUUUGCUAAGCUGCAAGGUUUUGUCAGAUGUCAAAAAAUACAAAAAAAUAUGUGCUCAUACUUGUACAUGUGUUUGUGUGUUGUGGAACCAAACCCCCAUAUUUCUGAGAAAAUUUCUUAACCACACAGCCAUUCCUCCACACAAACACACACUUACAUAGAUGCAUACUCAUGUACACAUUUUUAUUUUUAUAUACACUUCUUUAUAUAUGUAUAUAUGUAGUGUGUGUGUGUAUAUAUACAUGCUAAUAUUGGUAUUCUCAUCCAAAGACUAACCCCUGUGGCACGCUUGAACAAUUGUUAAGAUUUCUCAUUACAUGAACCAUUGGUAUCCUUAUUCCACAAAUAAGGUGUGUGUGUGUGUAUAUGUAUACACUUUUUAUUUGUGGAUAUAUAUAAAGAAUCGUUUUAAUGACCACUUUUUCAUGCUUGUAUGAGUAGACAGAAUUUCUGCAGCUGGCUGCCUUCCCUAUCACCAACUCUCAUCUUUCUCCAAGUAAUGUAAUAUUUUGCCGUGAUUGGACACGUCUUUCAUUGAAGACUGCAGAAAAAGGUCACUACUUGCAUAAUGACGACACUCAUUUACAACCUAUCAUGCAAUGUCACGCAUGCACACACUCUCUUGUGAUGCGCACCUCUUUCAGUUUCUCUCUACCUAAUCCACUUACAAGGCUUUGGUCAGCCCAGGGCUAUAGCAGAAGUCACUUGUCUGAGGUCCCACAGUGUGGAAUUGAACACAGAACCAUGUGGUUGGGAUGCAAGCUUCUUACCAUGCAACCACACAUUUGCCUAUAGCCAUACUAGGCGCUUAUAUAUAAAUAAAUAAAUGUGAAUAUUUAUAUACAUAUAUCAAUUGGCUUCUGUGUAGCUUCCUUUAACCAACACUUGGAAGGCAUUUUCUAUCUGAGGCAUUAGCAGAAGACACGUGCCCAAGGUGGUGCAGGCAAUGGGACCCCAUGGUUGUGUGGUAAAUACUUGACCAUAAAACCCUUUUGUGUGUGCAUGCGUGAACUGCUUAAGAGUGUAUUGCUUGCUGUUUAUGUGGCACCAGCACUAGUGAGGUGACCAAGUAACUCACAAUACAAGAUCCCUUGGCUGAAUGGGGCUGCAAUAUGAUGCUCUUCCUGUUGCCAACCCUUGUCUCUCUCCAAGCAAGGUAAUCUUUCCGCCUGACAACUUUUCAGAGAUUAGAAACUGACACUGCUUCUAUGACAGUGAUAUGCAUUUAAAACUAUCACACACUGACAAAACAAAGAGACAUUAACACACACACACACACACACGCACGCGCGCGAUAGGUUUCUUUUUGCUUCUAUCAGCUGAAUCCACUCAGAAGGUUUUGAUUGGCUUGGGACUAUACCAGAAAUCAUUAACCAACAGUGCCAUACAGUGGGACUGAACCUGAAACCAUGUGGCUAGUAGGCAAACUUCUUAACUAUGCAGCUAUGCUUGUGCUUAUAUGUGUGUGUUGAGAUACAGUUUUGUGUGUGUGUGAAGCAAGAUGGAAUGAACAGGUUUUAAUCACAAAACGCAACAAUUGUUUCUGUGCAUUAGUAACAGCUGUUGCUGAGUUUUCCAUAUCAUACUGUUACAUAAAAUGUUAUGUAAAUAAAUAUGAUUCAGCAUUAGCUGUGUACCCACACAUCAUCAGGUAAGUGGCUUUGAAACCACUCUGUGUUUGUGUGUGUGUGUAUAUGUACAUGCACACACACAUAAUCAAAUUUCGAUAGUGUUGGGAGCUCAUGACAUACCUGUUCAGUAAUUUAGAACAUUUCCGAAGUAAAUACACAUUAGAAGUGAAACAUAUAGGUUCAGUGUUCAUCAGCAGACAAAAACAAUCAAGUCAAUAUGUAUAAAUGUGCAUUGAACUUGUGCUUGUAAAGUGGUCCUAACACCAACCACUUUGCAGUCUGGCAAACACCCAGUCCACCUUGUAAAGUGGUUGGCAUUAGAAAAGGUAUCCAACUGUAGAAAGCAUGCUAAAGAUGAUUAUGUGUGUGUGUGUCUACACAUUUGUGUAUGUGGUAGAUGAGUGUACCAGUGAGUAUUGCAUGGUGCAUAAAAGAUUGUGUAGAUACUCUCUCACACUGGCCUCUUGGUAGUAUUUUUAGCUGACUUUUAUGUAUUUGUGGUUAGGAAUAUUUUCCUACUUUUCAAUUUAUUAAGUAGCAUUAUUUCUCCAUUUCUUUAAUCCUUGAUAAUACUACUUCUCUUUUUUUCUCUCUCUCUCUCUGUAUUUUUCAGUUUUCUCUGUUUAAUAUGACAUAACAUUAGCAUGAAAUACUUUGAUGUACAUCUAGAAAGUAAAAUGCAUCACAACUCUUUGCAUACAUAAUGAAAUGUCAAGAGGAUUUCAGAAAUCUUUCCUAAAUAUAUUAGCCUCAUCUAUUUUAAAACCAUUCUGAUUGGACUUUUGAUAAGCAUACACUCACCACACUCUUAUCGCUUACCCAUCCAUUUGUCAUCUCUGUUCUCUCUCCAUGUCUACUUGUAACCAUUGUGUUACUUUUCAUCCCCCUCAUCACUUUUCAUCUGCCCUUCCCAACCUUGCCGCUGUUCUUCAUUAUGUUUACUGUCUCACCCAUUCUUCCAUCUCUCACUCCCAAAUACACUCUUUCAACCUCCAUUCCCUAGCUUCCUUCCUUCCCUUCCUCCUUUCUGCUGCCUCAUACCUUGGGGGUCCACCCAGACACUUCAUCACUUUUAUUUUUAUCUCUUCCCAGUUUCACCUCGAUUAACCCCACCCUCUCUUCUAAAAUGUGAGCAGCCAUUUUGCUCCUUUACAACAAGAAAUUUGUUCUGCUCUGACAAGCAAUAAAGUUGUUGGCAUUAGGGAUGGCAUCCAGCCAUAGAAGCCAUAUCUAAGUAGACAGUUGAGCAAGAUGCAUUCCUGAGACCCAUUGGAUGUUGUUGAAACCAUUCAGCCCAAGGAACACCAGUGUUAAAUAAUGAUGGUGGUGAUGAUGAUACACAAACAGACACACCCACUUAUUGGCACACAUUUUCAUUUACUCAUUUGUCUUUUUAUCCUCCUCCUCAUCAUCAUUUAAUGUUUGCUUUCCAUGCUGUCAUGGGUUGGACAGUUUGACUGGAUUUGGUAAGCCAGAGUUGCACCAAGUUCUAAUCUGAUUUUGCAUGGUUUCUAUGGCUGGAUGCCCUUCCUAACACCAACUGCUCCAUGAGUGUAAUGGGUGCUUUUUACAUGCCACCAGCAUGGGUAUUUAAUUUAUUACAAGGAAAAGGCAAGAUGCAUUCAACAAUGAAAUAAGGGAAUUGAGAUAGAUGAGCUUGACAAAGCCUUUAUGAUAUGUCUCUAAACACAUCAUUUUGAAACUGUUGUUUGUGUGAGAUUGACUGAAUUUCAUUUUGUAUCUGUACCACAUCCUUAUCUCAAUGUAGGAAAGAGUAAAAUUGUGUGUGCAAGUGCCCCCUCCCCCCAUACAUGCUUACAGACAGACAGGCAUAGUAUUGUGGUUAAGAAGUUUUCUUCAGAAUCACAUGGUUAAGGGUUCAGUCCCCACCAUAUGAACAUUGUUGACUGACAUUUUUAUACCAUAGCCAUAAGUUGACUGAUACUUUGUGUGUAAAAUUAAUAGAAAUUGAAGAAGCUUGUCAUAGAUCUAUAUCUACUUUCAAUAUAUAUAUGUGUGUAAGUCUGUUUGUAUUUCUUGUCUGCAUAUGUGUUUGUUGAUUGUAAACAAAAGCCUCAUUCAAACAGUGCUGUUUGUUUCUAGUUUUUUUUAUCUAGUUACUGGUUAUUAUUAUUCAAUAGACCAAGAGAUUAUUACCUCCUUAGAAACAGCUGAGCUCUAAGGAGCUUCCUUGUAAUAGGAAGGGUGUUCAGUUAAAGAGGAUCUAUCUCAACAAAUUCUAUCAGACCCAAACUAGCAUGGAGAAGUGGACUUUAACAUGAUGGUCAUGAGACAAACACACAUGCGCAUGCACUUAAAUGUGGAUUCUUAUAUGGAUGCUUCCAUGGUCAAAUGAUUUCAGUGUUUGGUUGGUUAAUCCUGAAGUCAAAGCUAUCAUUUCCCUGCAUGGCAUUCUUGGAGAAGGCUGUCUUUUAUGAUAGUUGUGGGUCAACACAUGCCACAUUAUUUAAAUUUCUCAGACGCACACAACAUGCAGUAACAUGUUAGAUGGUCUCCUCCUGUAGGUCAGUCACAGUAAUGCUGUCUUAUGUUGGCAGUUUGAGUGCCUUUGUAGUACUCAGCCACAUACACUCAAUGUGUAGAUAAUUCUGUUUGACCAAACAUUUUGACUCCUAUUUGUAAAUUUGUUUACUUUUUUACUUGUACAUUUGUGUUUGUGUGUGUAUAUAUAUAUUUGUGUAUGAAUAUAUGUAUAAUUUAGACCUGUGUGUGUUUGUAAGUAUUCAGACUUAUAUUUGUAUGUAUAUAUAUCAAGUAUAACCGGCUGAACCUGCAUUGACCCUCUGGAACUCAACUGAGGAUAGGAAGCUCUGAAUGACCCGUCCUUGUUUUUCCUGUCCUUUUUUGUAUCAUCUAACUGUCCGGAUGUUUUGUUGUUGCCUGUUACAUUCUUGUUCCAUUUUUUGUUUUCUUUAUAUAUAUGUGUGUGUGUCUGUUUACAUAUGUAUACAUGUGCCUAUAAGUAAGUAUGUGUGCUGACCAUGAGUUAACAAUAGCUUUACCUCUGCUCUCAGUAAUAGUCAUUUCACUAUUGUUAAAUUUGCUGUCAAAUGAAUGCAGCCUUUGAACCACUAUGGCCACCAUCAGUCACAAUUGACGACAUGUUCAUGUUUACCAUGCUUUUGCCUUUAGUAAACAAACCUUUGCUAGUUGCAGGAUAGUUGCCCUUCUGUGUAGCAAAGUCUCAGUACUUGUUCAUCUAACCCAUACUGACCUGGAAAAAUAAACGAAAAAAAAAAAUGAUUGAA
rnacentral:lncRNA from 1 species